CUGGCGGAUACCAAAUCAAUAGAUGUCCAACUGGGGAUGGAAAAAUUGGGCACGGGGCUCCUUCCCGCUUUGGCGGAUACAAACAUGAUCGUGGGUAUGG
rfam:Desulfobacteraceae bacterium 4484_190.1 ex4484_190.1_scaffold_7632, whole genome shotgun sequence.